CGGGGACACCCCACCCAACGGCACCAGCUCGCACCCCGCACCCCAAUCUCCGCCCGCCUCCACGGGGGCACCAGCUGAGCGGGCCCCGCCCCCCAGCCUGUCCCUCCGGUGUUGGGGGAGCAGGCGGGUUCUCCCCCAAACCACGGAGCGGCUCAGGUAACCGGAGGGAGAGGAGGAGGGGCCGGUCCGGUGGGCAUCUGAUCUCUCCCCAAACAGCACCCCUACCCCAAGGGCCUUGUAGCCUGAGCCCCACCAAUGGCAGGCCCCAGGAGGAGGCUCACCACCUGCCACCUCCUACCCCCACCGGCUCCACCCAGUUUAGAUGCUGCAGGACAGAGGCUGGGGAAGAGCUGGCGCCGAUUUCUCCAGACAAGGAUCCUUCUCAACAGAGGGAAGCCAGGUGCAAUGGUGCCCACCUGGAAGCCCAUUACUGAGGGAGGCCAAGGCAGGAGGGACGAAAGUUUGAGACUAAUCUGGGCAACUUUUCGAGAUCCCGUCUCCAAAUCAAAAAUAAAAAGUUUCGCCACCUGCUGCACAAGCUCAAGGACCCAAGUUCAAUCCCCGACAAGGUCUCACUAUGCAAUUCGGGCUGGCUUUGAACUCACUGUGUAGCCCAGGUUGAAACUGAACUCAUGGAGAUCCUCCUGCCUCAGACCCCCAAGCACUGGGAUUACAGGCGCCCCCUGGUGAAGACAGGCGGGCUUUAGCAUCCCCACGGGGCUGGGCCCGCUCCUGCCCCUCUCCACUGCCCACCCCCAUCUCGCCGGACCCUGCUCCCGUGGCAACAAGCUGGUGAGACCCCUGGGCCGCUCUGCCCCCUGCCCACCACUCACCACCCCCUCUCCUACCUGCCCCACCUCCUCCUGCCACCCAGGUUGUACCGGGGCGCGAGUCUCCUUUAACGUGUCCUGGCAGCACCCCUGCCCCGGCCCCACGCCCCACGUACACACACAUGCGCUCACACACGCUUCUGCCAGCCGCACGCUGCCAGCAGCUGCCAGAGCUGUUGAGCAGGAGGGAGCCCGGGAGGGUGGGGUGCAGGGAUUGGGUUUCCAGCUCCGAGGGGGUGGGCCGUCACCCAAUCCCUUCUCCCUCCCGCGGCCUCCCUCCAGCCUCUGGCAGGCAGCCCACUACCCUUGGAGCCCGGCCCCCACCCCCAGUCCACCUAGUGUAGGAAGUAAGCGUUGGAGAGUAUUUGUCAUGCGGAGACCAGCCCAGGAGAGGAGAGAAGCAGCAAGGCGGAGACAGACAGACAGACAGACAAACAGACGGGAUUCCUGUGCUCUGUGCUCCAGCUGCAACCAACCACUAGCACCCACCCCUGCCUCCAGGCCUCAGAGAAGGGAUCCCUUUGGACCAGGAAUCAGAAGCCCAGAGCCUGAGCUGGCCGAGGUAAACCACACCUGUGAUCCCAGCACUGAGGAGGCUGAGGCAAGAGGAUCACCACAAGUUUGAGGCCAGUUUACCCUACAUAGUGAGUUGAAGCCCAGCCUGGCCUACAGAGCGAGACCCAAAACAAACUAACAAAUAAACCUGUCCUGUCUCCCUGCCAAUCAGCCCUGCUUGCUUCCUGAGCUGGGGAAUCCUAGUCGUCCUGUCCUUAACUGGUCCUGUCACUGUGGACACAUCCCUGGCCGGGUCCCUGGCCGGGUCCCUGGUCUAAUAGGAGGCAACUGGGCAGGACGCCC
ensembl:lncRNA